rnacentral:rRNA from 1 species
UUAAGUUGGCGGGCGGGCUAACACAUGCAAGUCGAACGGUAACAGGAUGUGCUUGCACAUCGCUGACGAGUGGCGGACGGGUGAGUAAUGCUUGGGAACUUGCCUUUGCGAGGGGGAUAACAGUUGGAAACGACUGCUAAUACCGCAUAAUGUCUACGGACCAAACGGGGCUUAGGCUCCGGCGCAAAGAGAGGCCCAAGUGAGAUUAGCUAGUUGGUAAGGUAACGGCUUACCAAGGCGACGAUCUCUAGCUGUUCUGAGAGGAAGAUCAGCCACACUGGGACUGAGACACGGCCCAGACUCCUACGGGAGGCAGCAGUGGGGAAUAUUGCACAAUGGGGGAAACCCUGAUGCAGCCAUGCCGCGUGUGUGAAGAAGGCCUUCGGGUUGUAAAGCACUUUCAGUUGUGAGGAAAAGUUAGUAGUUAAUACCUGCUAGCCGUGACGUUAACAACAGAAGAAGCACCGGCUAACUCCGUGCCAGCAGCCGCGGUAAUACGGAGGGUGCGAGCGUUAAUCGGAAUUACUGGGCGUAAAGCGCACGCAGGCGGUUUGUUAAGCUAGAUGUGAAAGCCCCGGGCUCAACCUGGGAUGGUCAUUUAGAACUGGCAGACUAGAGUCUUGGAGAGGGGAGUGGAAUUUCAGGUGUAGCGGUGAAAUGCGUAGAGAUCUGAAGGAAUACCGAUGGCGAAGGCAGCCACCUGGGUCAACACUGACGCUCAUGUACGAAAGCGUGGGGAGCAAACAGGAUUAGAUACCCUGAUAGUCCACGCCGUAAACGAUGUCUACUAGGGGCUCGGGUCUUCGGACUUGUUUUUCAAAGCUAACGCAUUAAGUAGACCGCCUGGGGAGUACGGCCGCAAGGUUAAAACUCAAAUGAAUUGACGGGGCCCGCACAAGCGGUGAGCAUGUGUUUAAUUCGAUGCAACGCGAAGAUCUUACCUACACUUGACAUACAGAGACUUACAGAGAUGUUUGGUGCUUCGGGACUCUGAUACAGGUGCUGCAUGCUGUCGUCAGCUCGUGUGUGAGAUGUUGGGUUAAGUCCCGCAACGAGCGCACCCCUAUCUUAGUGGCCAGCGAUUCGGUCGGGACUCUAAAGAGACUGCCGGUGGAAAACCGAAGAAGAGGGAGCAACCUCAGCUCAUGGCCCUAUUGGAGGGCUAACCACCUGCCAAAUGGGGCAUACAAGAUGUGCGACCGCCCGGCGGGAAGGAUCACUUUAUAGGGGGGCUAUCGCAGAUGGAAGUGUCACGACAGCUCACUGGACUGAUGAACUCCUCACGUUACUCGCAAUACUAUAAUAGCACGAGGGAGUGGAGAGUC